rnacentral:rRNA from 1 species
GACGAACGCUGGCGGCGUGCUUAACACAUGCAAGUCGAACGGAAAGGCCCUGCUUUUGUGGGGUGCUCGAGUGGCGAACGGGUGAGUAACACGUGAGUAACCUGCCCUUGACUUUGGGAUAACUUCAGGAAACUGGGGCUAAUACCGGAUAGGAGCUCCUGCUGCAUGGUGGGGGUUGGAAAGUUUCGGCGGUUGGGGAUGGACUCGCGGCUUAUCAGCUUGUUGGUGGGGUAGUGGCUUACCAAGGCUUUGACGGGUAGCCGGCCUGAGAGGGUGACCGGCCACAUUGGGACUGAGAUACGGCCCAGACUCCUACGGGAGGCAGCAGUGGGGAAUAUUGCACAAUGGGCGGAAGCCUGAUGCAGCAACGCCGCGUGCGGGAUGACGGCCUUCGGGUUGUAAACCGCUUUCGCCUGUGACGAAGCGUGAGUGACGGUAACGGGGAAAGAAGCACCGGCUAACUACGU